UCCCGAAGAAAAACCCAUUUUACAGGCAGUCUGGCAUAAUAUAGCGAUUUAUUCCCACAUCCAGCUUCCAACCAGUACAAAUAAUAUGCACAUGCAUUACAGAGCCAUCGGCUGCUUCCUAAGAGGUAAUAACAGUGUUUGGUCCGAGGGGGCUGGGGCAGCCAAGGACUUAAGGAAGCAGCAACUUUUUCUUUGCAAUGUGUUUUGCUUCCUGAUAAUUUUAUUAUUUUCACUGAGAUAUUACAGUAAGUGGCUUGGUAGCACCUUGUGAUUCUGACAAAUAAAUCACAUCACAGCAAUUUAAGUGCAGAGGUAGCACCUUUGGCUGGCAUAUUUCACUUUAAUGUGUCUAGAGGCAUUUAUGCAGAAAGCCCUGCAAAGGCAGAGCAGAUUCUUUUCCUCCUGUCUAUGAAAUUCCCUACUCUGUUGUUUUUAUCACCCAGAUAAGAGGCUACUGUUACAGCAGGUUCAAAGACUAGAAGCUCCAGGGGGAGAGAACAAGAUCCAGCAUCACAGAAAACUUUAGUGUCUUUGGCUUUAGUAUUAGAUGACUUAACACUUCACCCAGCGAUAUCAAAACCCACCCUGCCUGAAAUUCAAGCCCAUUAAAGCUCUUCAUGGUUUCUGAGACAGACAGAUGUUUCUAAGAGCUUUUCCUACUCAGAUCACUCUAAAGUCCUGAAUGAUUUCAUUUCUGAAGGCAACAUCCCUACAAGCGUUACCAUUAUUCUCCUUACUUUACAAAACCAAGUAGAGGAUGCCCUGAAACAACACACUCAGUUUUUGGACAGCUGAUUGAGUUAGCUUAUUUAUAAAUGAUUCCUACGUAAAACCGGUCUUGUUCCUUCUACCAGCAGCAUCCACCUACCAGAGGAGCCCUGCUGCUUUUCUCUUCUACCCCUCAUCUCUCCCAAAACAGAAAGUUGAGUUAAACAGUACCAGAAAACAACCCCCACAGAAAAAAAACCCUAAACACAGGGAACGCUACAUUACCACCCCACCUUGCAAAGCCUUAACGCAGACUUACUACCUCAGCUGUUGUGCCUGCAGCAGCUCAAAAGAUGCUAGCCUCCCCAUCUCAGAGCAGCAUACUGAACACAAAACACCUCUCUCCUUAUACCAGCAAACCUACAGGCAUUUUAGGAUCCAACCUCUUAUUCCUCAUGAGGGUUUUGCGAUGAAGUCUCAUUAGUUGACUAACCUUUGUGAGUACGUUGGUGUCGCAGCAGCAACUGCUUCGUGAAGAAGAUUAUGCAUUAAUCAUGAAUUCCUAACUGACUGUCUUAAAAAACUGGGAAGGUCAGCUUGUAACUGUACAUUGAUUAGUGGCCCAGAAAGCACAACAGUGGGAAAUUAAAAGGGUAUUUGACCCUUGCUAGGUGUUGUUUUUUAACCCAAGUUUACUUACUUUUUUUCCCUACCACCACGAAACUCAGAUUUGGUCUGACAAAAUAUUUCAUAUUGAUCAUCGUGCAUUUUUUUUCCCAAUAAAAACCCUUAAGAAUGUUUAAAAAAAAAAAGA
rnacentral:lncRNA from 1 species